UAAUACAGAGGGUGCGAGCGUUAAUCGGAAUUACUGGGCGUAAAGCGCGCGUAGGCGGCUUUGCAAGUCGGGUGUGAAAUCCCCAGGCUUAACCUGGGAACUGCAUUCGAGACUGCAUUGCUAGAGUAUGGGAGAGGGAAGUGGAAUUUCCGGUGUAGCGGUGAAAUGCGUAGAUAUCGGAAGGAACAUCAGUGGCGAAAGCGA
rnacentral:rRNA from 1 species